AGUGAACGCUGGCGGCGUGCCUAAUACAUGCAAGUCGAACGGAGUGGCGCACGGGUGAGUAAUAUAUAGCUAAUCUGCCCCUUGCUGGAGGACAACAGUUAGAAAUGACUGCUAAUACUCCAUAGCAAGGAAUGAGAUUAUUUCGUAUCAGCUAGUCGGUGGGAUAACGGCCUACCGAGGAUAUGACGCGUAACAGGUCUGAGAGGAUGAUCAGUAACAGUCGAACGGAGACACGGUCCAAACGUAUGCGGGAUGCAGCAGUAGGGAAUAAUGCGCAAGGGGAGCAACCCUGACGCAGCAACGCUGCGUGAAGGAUGACACUCUGCGGAACGUAAAAUCCGUUUGUUAGGGAAGCGGUACCUAACGAAUAAUCACCGGCUAACUCCGUGCCAGCAGCCGCGGUAAUAC
rnacentral:rRNA from 1 species